UACGAAGGGGGCUAGCGUUGCUCGGAAUUACUGGGCGUAAAGGGCGCGUAGGCGGCACUGUUAGUCAGGCGUGAAAGUCCUGGGCUCAACCUGGGAACUGCGCUUGAUACGGCAGAGCUAGAGGAUGGAAGAGGGUCGCGGAAUUCCCAGUGUAGAGGUGAAAUUCGUAGAUAUUGGGAAGAACACCGGUGGCGAAGGCGGCGACCUGGUCCGAUACUGACGCUGAGGCGCGAAAGCGUGGGGAGCAAACAGG
rnacentral:rRNA from 1 species